rnacentral:rRNA from 1 species
CCUACGGGUGGCAGCAGUGGGGGAUAUUGCACAAUGGGCGAAACCCUGAUGCAGCGAUGCCGCGUGAAUGAAGACGGCCUUCGGGUUGUAAAGUUCUGUCGCAGGGGACGAAAAUGACGGUACCCUGCAAGAAAGCUCCGGCUAACUACGUACCAGCAGCCGCGGUAAUACGUAGGGAGCCAGCGUUGUCCGGAAUUACGGGGUGUAAAGGGGGCGUAGGCGGGAGGAUAAGUUGAAGGUGAAAUCUAUGGGCUCAACCCAGAGCUGCCUUCAAAACUGUUGUUCUUGAGUGUAGUAGAGGCAGGCGGAAUGCGUGGUGUAGCGGUGAAAUGCGUAGAUAUUACGAGGAACACCAGUGGCGAAGGCGGCCUGCUGGGGUGUUACUGACGCUGAGGCUCGAAAGCGUGGGUAGCGAACAGGAUUAGAUACCCGUGUAGUC